UACGGAGGGUGCAAGCGUUGUUCGGACUUAUUGGGCGUAAAGAACGUGUGGGCGGCUUUGGAUGUCAGAUGUGAAAGCCCUCGGCUCAACCGAGGAAGUGCAUCUGAAACUGCAAAUCUUGAGUACGAGAGAGGAGAGUGGAAUUCCCAGUGUAGAGGUGAAAUUCAUAGAUAUUGGGAAGAACACCGGUGGCGAAAGCGGCUCUCUGGCUCGUUAAUGACGCUGUGACGUGCAAGCGUGGCGAGCAAACAGG
rnacentral:rRNA from 1 species